rnacentral:lncRNA from 1 species
GGUUGGCUCGGCUGUUUUCGGCCAGGUUUCUGAGCAGUGUUUUCUUUCCGAACCGCAGGAAUUUGUAUGGAGAAAGCAGUGUUUAAUGCAACGUGUUUUAAGUCGGACGCUCCGGCUAGGCGCUGGUGGUCUGGGCGGCGCGGCGCUGCCCUGGUGCGCCUGCUCCCUGCGGACGGGGGGCCGCUUCUGCGCGGGGUCCGAAUAAACCUCCUUUAGUCCCGGAGAGUCCCUGGAAGAGCAGUGGGAACCUUUCACGCCAGAAUCACUGGGCUGUCCCGCUCCAAAAAAUAUUCUCAGAUUUGAUGCGUGUGCUAGCCCUCGAGUUGACUACCAGUGUGUUGUGCAAAAACAGGUCAUGGUUUGGACUAUGUGGUGUGAAGAGAAAAGAAAGAACAAGACAGGAGAAGGCUGGGAGCAGAAGUUACAGCACUAGUACUGCUGGCUGCUUUCUCUUCUGGUCACAUUUGGGUUGUCUUGUGGAACCUUCCUAG